rnacentral:rRNA from 1 species
CAAUAGCGUAUAUUAAAGUUGUUGCGGUUAAAAAGCUCGUAGUUGGAUUUCUGCUGAGGACGAUCGGUCCGCCCUCUGGGUGAGUAUCUGGCUCGGCCUUGGCAUCUUCUUGGAGAACGUUACUGCACUUGACUGUGUGGUGCGGUAUCCAGGACUUUUACUUUGAGGAAAUUAGAGUGUUUCAAGCAGGCGCACGCCUUGAAUACAUUAGCAUGGAAUAAUAAGAUAGGACCUUGGUUCUAUUUUGUUGGUUUCUAGAGCUGAGGUAAUGAUUAAUAGGGAUAGUUGGGGGCAUUCGUAUUUAACUGUCAGAGGUGAAAUUCUUGGAAUUGUUAAAGACGGACUACUGCGAAAGCAUUUGCCAAGGAUGUUUUCAUUGA